CAGGUAGCAUUCCUCUUUGCUGCCGGCACCGCUUGAGCAACAGGACGUAGACAGUCCUAGAGUCAACACGGGGCACGUCAGGCUUCCAUAAGGGACAAUUGAUUCGGGCAAAAGAGGGACAAAGGACCCCGACCGAUCAUGCAUCUACAUACAAGACUUCGAGCGACACAUGGGCGUCCGAUGCUUGCAACCUAAAUAAGUGAAGCAAGGGCGAACGUCCAUAAGAGCUUCAGGGUCUACGUCGCACAAAACAUUUCGCACGAGAUAGAGUAGAGGCCAUGGGACUAGAGAAUUCCAUCAAAAUAGGUAUCCUGCACAGGGGGCCAAGCCAAUCCAAGGCCAAACGUUUAGCACUCGGACAGAAUUGAACAGGUUUGAACCAGCGGUUGUCGCUGCCA
rnacentral:misc_RNA from 1 species